rnacentral:rRNA from 1 species
GACGAACGCUGGCGGCGUGCCUAACACAUGCAAGUCGAACGGAGAUUAUUGAUGAAGCUUGCGAUUUAAUAAUCUUAGUGGCGGACGGGUGAGUAACGCGUGGGUAACCUGCCCAUAAGAGGGGGAUAACAGCUGGAAACGGCUGCUAAUACCGCAUACGCUUUCCGGGACACAAGUGCCGGAAAGGAAAGAUGGCCUCUACAUGAAAGCUAUCACUUAUGGAUGGACCCGCGUCUGAUUAGCUAGUUGGUGGGGUAGAAGCCUACCAAGGCGACGAUCAGUAGCCGGCCUGAGAGGGUGGACGGCCACACUGGGACUGAGACACGGCCCAGACUCCUACGGGAGGCAGCAGUGGGGAAUAUUGCGCAAUGGGGGAAACCCUGACGCAGCGACGCCGCGUGAGCGAAGAAGGCCUCGGUUGUAAAGCUCUGUUGUAAGGGACGAAUGUCGCGAUCAAUAAUACGGAUUGCGAAGUGACGGUACCGUUACCAGCAAGCCCCGG